rnacentral:rRNA from 1 species
CAGUCGCCACGGUAAUACGAAGGGGGCUAGCGUUGUUCGGAUUUACUGGGCGUAAAGCGCACGUAGGCGGAUCGAUCAGUCGGGGGUGAAAUCCUGGAGCUCAACUCCAGAACUGCCUUUGAUACUGUCGAUCUCGAGUCCGGAAGAGGUGAGUGGAACUCCUAGUGUAGAGGUGGAAUUCGUAGAUAUUAGGAAGAACACCAGUGGCGAAGGCGGCUCACUGGUCCGGUACUGACGCUGAGGUGCGAAAGCGUGGGGAGCAAACAGGAUUAGAGACCCCUGUAGUCCCUGUCUCUUAUAC